GACAUCGCAAACCUCCCAUCGGAUGGUGCAACAAAUCACUCUAUCGCAUCUCCCCUGCCAAAUUCAUUGCUUGAUGAUGGGCCAAAUGAACUGUUGCCCAUUUUACCUGGGUAUCUAACAUUAAAUCCACAACGGUAUCAAUGUGCGUCAUUGCCAGCACAAAACCACCAGCUCCUUGAUAAUACUUUUCAGAAUGAGUCACGGGGGUCCAUUUUGCCUGGUCUCAUUGCAUCAGAUGCUCCACUCACUAACGUGGCCACAACAAACACUGCCCGGCAUUUUAAUCAACCAGAUCAGACCUUUCACAGGCAGUGUGAAGGUGGCACUGGCUUAUCUCCUCUACCGCUUUCCAUGGACAUAGAGCCACCUCUUCCAUCACGACCUUUCAAUGGACCUCCUAUUAUUGAGCCAUUUAAUUCCCCUCCGCAGAUUCCAGAGGACAUCUUAAACACAACUGGCCCAUCAACACCGGAAGGUAUAAUACCAUCGAUCUAUUAAAUGGGUCUCGAUAACGCUUAUUAACAAAAUCCAUAUUAUAUUUAUCAUUCAUGUGGUCUCUUGUAAACCCCAUGUUGCUUCUAUGGUGAGUAAGAAUGUUUCAAUUGGAGUCUAAUGCAUGAAGUUGUGGCUUAUAAAUUAGUGAUGCCAGAAGGUGCACCAGCAGGGACAUCAUCAUUCCAGUAUGAUCAAUUGGUGUAGGUAAUUCAAAUCUGGAUUGCAAUCAGCCACGUAUAUCUAGUGUAACAAGUGUAGCCAACACUGUCCCGCAUUCUAACCUAUCAUUCGAAGCUGCAAUGAAGAAUGUGGAACUAAAACCAGUUCGUUUCCCCUGCGAGAUUCGAGGGGCAUAUGUCCCAUCACUGCAUUACGGCCUAUUAGGUGCCCUCACAUCGAGGCAACACUUGUCAAUUUGCAAGUUCUGGAGAAUGGAGCAAAUAUGGCUGGCCCGUAACCAUCACAAGUGACUGUCUUGAUUUACCUAAAUAGAUAGUCAUUCCAAAUUAAUCAUAGGUAUUCCAACUCGAGUGAGCGUUGAUGUUUUCAUUGCAGAAGUGAUCCUUCUUUGUAUUAUUAACUCUCUUUUAGUAUGACUCAAAUUCGUCUAUUUCCAUAUCUAAUCUUUUCUCAAUUACCGUAGUAUCAUUGCAUGUUAUGUUUGUCCAACAUCACUUACUUUACGGCAUGGUUUUUUCAUCAAAAUAUUUUACUUAUCUGCAUGUUGAUUUUCCUUGUGGAUGUCUUUUGUGACCAAGUUCUAUGUUGUUUUACCUGUGUGCAUGGACACUCCAAUAUCUUAGUGCAACCAGCUCUGGUGCCCCCUCAACAUCAAAGUGUUCCACAUCAAGCUCCAAAUAAUACUCCUUCAGCUCCUCAGAUUCAACGUCGUGGAACAGGUCUGAUAGUCCCAUCGUCAUUGCCAGGUAUAUAGUUAUUUACCUAAAUUAAUCCUUAUGCAUCGAUCACCAUGUUAUGUUAUUAAGGGAAGCAAGAAUGCUAUAAUGAGACCGAUGGAUUUAAUUGCAGAAUUAGAUAUGAGCAAGGGUGUGCCACUAACGAGUCACACAAACAUAAACAACAACUUUGAAAAGAGUAGAGCUUUGAAAAGAAAAAUAAAGCAACUCUACAGUAGAGAAGCUGACAUAAGGGAUGAGUUAGAAUUUGCCGGGUCUCUAUCACUAAAGAAGCAGAAAAAGGAAGUUGAGAAUUGGUUGGCGGAUGUGGAGCAGCUCAGAAAAGAUUUUCAGAGUAUUGAAGCAACAAGUGAGGAUUGUUUGCCGUCACACCAGCAGGUGGAUACACUGACGCAACAAGCAGAAGACCUUAUGAAACAAGGCGAAUUCCCAAAAGGACUAUUUGGGGCGAGAAAGACCAAAGUCAAUAAGUUGAUAGAACGAAAGUUGGUGGGAGAGGCAUUUAAGAGAAAUACAACAAAGAUUUUGGAGUACUUAGUAGGGAGUCAAAUAUCCCGACUAGGCAUUUAUGGAAUGGGGGGUAUUGGUAAAACCACUCUUAUGAAGCACAUACAUAAUAGACUUCUCGAAAAAGCAAAUCAUGAUAAUGUGUUGUGGAUCACCGUGUCACAAGAUUUUAACACACAAAAGUUGCAGAACGACAUUUGGGAGGCACUAAAUUUAGGCACACUACAAGAAAAGGAGGUGGGGCAACGAGCAGCAAUGUUGUCCGCUGUUUUAACCGAAAGAGAGAAGUUGAUCAUAAUCCUUGAUGAUGUGUGGGAAGAUUUCAAUCUUGAAGAGGUGGGAAUCCCUGUUAGAGAAGAUGGAAAUAAGUUGGUCUUAACCACUCGAUCCCUUGAAGUAUGCCGCCGGAUGCAAUGUCAAGAAAUAAAAAUCGAACCUCUAUCUCUAGAAGAAGCUGAGGAUUUAUUUUUUGAGGAGCUUGGAUCCAAAGUGGCCCUUAAUUUGGAAACAAUUGUGAAGUCCAUUGUUAAAGAAUGUGCAGGCUUGCCACUUGGAGUCAUCACGAUGGCAGCAAGCAUGCGAGGAGUGACGAAUGUGUCUGAAUGGAGAGAUUGCUUGGAGAAAUUGAAAGAAUCAGAUGCCCCAACGGAGAUGGAAAAGAGAGUCUUAAAGCAACUAGAAGUCAGCUACGAUCGCCUUGAGAAACGUGAAGUUCAACAGUGUUUCUUAUCUUGCGCACUUUAUCCAGAAGAUAGAUUGAUUGAUAAGGUCGAGUUGAUAGAAUUCUUUAUUGACCAAGGACUGAUUUGUGGAUUGAAUAUGAAUACGAGGGAGAAAGAAUAUGAUAGAGGCUUCACCAUAUUGAGCAAACUGGAAAAUGUUUGCCUAUUGGAAGAUUAUGGAGAAAACAUGAAGAUGCACGAUUUGAUUAGAGACAUGGCAUUGCACAUCAUGAGUGCAACUUCCAUUGUAAAAGCAGGAAAGUGGUUGGAAAGUAUUCCAUCUGAGGAAUAUUGGACAGAUGCUUUGGAGAAAGUUUCUCUGAUGGAAAACGAAAUAAGUGAAAUUCCAUUGAACAUGUCACCAAAUUGUCCUAAACUAUCAACUUUACUACUGAAUGGAAGCUUGUUAAAGGAUGCGGUCCUCCCUGGUUCUUUCUUCAAACAGUUAUGUGGGCUAAAGGUUCUAAACCUGAGUGACUGUGAACUAAUAGAACUUCCAAAUUCCAUCUCAAAUUUGGUAAACUUGAGGGCACUAUUGCUUAGAGAGUGUCGGGAAUUGUGCCAUAUUCCUUAUUUAGGGAAGCUCACAUCUUUAAGAAAGUUGAACGUUGGUGGCUGUUCUAAGCUUAAAGAAGUGCCCGAGGGUCUGGAAAUGUUGGUGAACUUGAGAUACCUUGACCUACGUUUUUCAUCGACCGUUGAAUUACCUGAAAGAGUACUAGGGGGUUUGCUAAACUUGCAGCAUCUUAAAGUUUAUUUUCUAGAUGGACAAGACAUGACAAAAUUGAGGGCACUGGAGACACUCAAAUGCUCUUUUGAAGAUGCGAAUGAUUUCAAUAAGUGAACAGAGUAACCCUCGCUGUUAUUAUUAUCUCGGCAUGGCUCAAAAAGAUAUUUCUUAUUAUCGUGAAGCAUGUUAUUCUACUCAUGAGGAAUACCGUGAUAUUACUCAAAUUGAGAAUCGGAAGAGGGAAGUCAAAAUUUGGGGGUGGGAUCAUGCUAUUGUGAGUGUGGGAGGGGAAUGCACCGGCAUUUUUAUUUUGAUUCCCCACACCCGUGCAGAAAAUGACAAUGAUUGGUUGCGACGGUAUAACAAAUUUGUCUAGCAUAGGUCCGCUUAAAUACCUUGAGGAUCUAUGUAUAGGAUACUCAGAAAACUUAGGGAUGCUCUGUGGAGGAGAAGACGAAGAAGUAAUCGACAUCCUUGCCCCAGCCCUUGCGCCUCUCCUCUUCUCGAGCCUUAGGGUUUUAAAAAUAUAUGAUUGUCCAAAACUGAAGUAUCUCUUUGGGCAUGGGUCUAAAUCCAUCCUUCCGCAUCUACGAGAGAUUGAAAUAUAUGGAUGUGAGAAAAUGGUGGGGAUAAUAGCAGCAGUUACAUCCCCACCACCACAUCCGCUCCCAUUUUUCCCUAGUCUGGAACAGAUUAGCAUUAGUCGCUGUAACAAGAUGAAGAGAGCGGUGGAAUCUGAGUGGAUGCCCCACUUCCCUACUCUGAGAGGAAUCACAGCAAUUUAUUGUGAGAAGAUGGAGGAGAUAAUCGGAGGUCCUCCCCCAUACUCGCCGGAUGAACAGAUUUCUCUCGAAUCUCUUGAGGUAAGCCGUUGCUAUAACAUGAGAAAGCUGCUUACGUAUGAGUGGCUGCUCCAUCUUCGAAAUCUUCAAAGUAUCGUGGUCAGUCACUGCAAAGGAAUGGUGGAGUUGAUAAGCGGAGCGGGACAAGGCCAAGAAGGAAGCAUAACGACUUCUGUAAACAACACUCCUUCAUCCUUCCAGCCUUCUUCAAUUUCUCUCCCAAAGCUAGAGUGUUUGAAGCUACGCUAUCUACACCAGCUGAAGAGCAUAUACAAAGCCCCAAUAAGCUGCGAUUCCAUGAAAAGAUUGAAAGUGUACGGAUGCCCAGAACUGAAGAGGAUUCCUUUGCAACUGCCACUGCGUGAAAUUGAGGGAGCUUCCGCAUAUUUAUGAUGGAAGAUGAGGAAAAGUGGAAGACGGCUGAUGUGGGGAUCAUCCCGGAUGCUCAGGCUAUUCUUUCAACCUUAUCUCCAAAAAGGGUCAAAUGCUAUAGGUUAAUGAGUUUAAUUGGAUAUACGAUUGCUUCACUUCUUUAAAAGUCCUUUCAAAGAUAUAGCUUUUCUGUCUAUAUAGUCAUGCAGCUCUAAUAGUGGCCUUCUGUAGUACUGAACACCCAGGUGAAAGCAUCUCCUGCGACUUCACUCUUUGAAGAAGAACCCUGGCUGCUCGACCAUGGCUUUCCUACCAACUUGGACCUCAGGUUGCCAUAUGAACUGACUUUUUUUGUGUUGCCAUGCUUUGUCUAUUUUGAAUGCGAUCGCAUGUUUCAUUGACUACUGGAAAUGAGUCUAUCUGGUCGAUAUUUCAGGUUAGUCAAAAAGCAAUGGAUCUGAAGAUUUGGGAAGCCAAGGGAAUAGCAAAGUCUGUUUCCUAUCUUGUCUUAUAACUGAAAGGACAAUUUAUUAUUAUGGAUUGAUUUUCUUGGGAUAUUAGCCUUCUAAGAAAAGAGAGAAUUUUGUGCAGCACUACCUUUAAUCUGUUUUUGUUUAAAAAGGAUUUCAAAUAUGAUAUUGCUUUAACUUGUCGAUCGAAAAUAUUGUGUCAAAUACGCUGCUUUGCUCUGUUGGAUCAGAGCAACAUGACCCCAAUUAAACUUGUUUCGACGUUAAACUAUCGGGUAUAGAAUACUUGAUCUGCUUAGUAGUUGUAUCAUAUCUGGAAACGUAGGCCGGGAAGUUUUCUUUUCACCCUUUGUCAUACUUUGAAUUAGAAAUGUAAAAAGACGAAGAAGAAAGAAUUACACAGCUAUCACCCCUCUUUAAAUGCCUCGAAGUUGUGGAUAGAUGGAGAACCCUACAGCUUCAGCUCAAGUAACCAAAAAUCAGAGCAGUAACCACUAGCAAGUCAAUGGAAAAAAGGCCAGCUUAUAGGAUGUGGCACUUUUGAAAGUGUUUACAUUGCAAGCAACCAGUAAGUUAGCUCUGGGAAUCUUAGACAUGUUCCAUUUUUUUAGAUAUCCAGUCAGCUAAACUUUGACAUAUUAAGUGACAGAAAAACCAGAUCUCUAUGUGCAGAGAAGGAGUUUGAGCUAUUGCGUAAUGAUCCAAAUUUAGCUGAGUGCAUCGAGCAGUUAAAGCAGGUAAUGUUUUUGUUAUGCUCUGGGAUCCAAUCUAUCCUCUCAUCCGAUCUAAAUAUGCUGGGAGGAAACUUUCUUUCAUCAUUUCCAAGUAAUUGAUUGCUUUGUUACUACAGGAAAUUCAGGUACUUAGCUAGCAUAGACAUCCGAACAUUCUGCAGUAUUAUGUAAGGGAAAUUGUGAGUCACAUUUCCAUAGCAUCUAUGCGUCCCAACUCAAUGGGCGUUCAUUAUUUGACUCACCAAAAUUUCAACAUAUUCAUACAUACUCAGGUUGAGGAUUGGCGUUACAUAUAUCUAGAAUAUGCACAUCACGAUUCAAUAGACGAGUAUAUCCAGGAGCGUCUUGGGACCCUAACAGAAUCGGUUGUCAGCACUUUACCCGCUAUAUUGUGGCUGGAUUGGCUUCCCUGCAUGUUAACAACUCCAUACAUGGGUAAUUCUAAACCAUUGAUCAAGCAUCAUGAGAUGACUUGCAUAUUGGAUUAGGAUGAUUGGACCUUCUUCUUUGUGCCCCCAGACCUGUUAAAACUAUUUGGCUUGUGCAGGGAUUUAAAGGGAGCUAAUUUAUUUGUGGAUGCAUCUGGGAUAUGCAAACUUGCUGACUUUGGGAUUGCUAAACAUGUGAGUUUUUACCUCUUCACUGCAAGACUACUCAGUGCAUGUAGAAAUUCCUUGCUGAUCUGUGGUACAUUCGAAUGUGAAGUCAGGGACCCAGGGUGACUGCAUACUUCUCAUUAUUGGUUUGUGGCAUUUCAUAUGUGCAUAAAUCUAUCAUAGAUGGAUGAAAUGUUAUUAAGUAAUUUUCUUCACUUUUUUUCCCAUUGUUUCAGGUAAAGUUACCAUGUUGCAUGAACGGGAAAAGAUUUCUUGCUGUAAAUAGAUGCCGAAACCUAAUGAGAGUUCCCUUUCUACUGGUUUCUAAAAAGUUCCUAAGAGCGGUAGUGAAUAGAACGCAAUACCUUUGGCAAAAGGUUGUGGUGUUGUUUUUGCUGCUCCUCUGCAUUCCAAAAUAAGGAUAGAACUUAGUCAGAGUAAGUAAGGGCCUCCUUCCUAACAUGAGGUAAAUAAAAGUUUAUGAAUCCAUAGAAUGGAAUUCUGGACAGUAGCCAAGGUGUUGUUGCUCUCUUUUUGAGUUCUCAAGCAUUUGCUGAGGCCAUGUUGUUGAUUGCUUCAUGGUCCUUUUUCUCAGUAAUGAGCUAACAUGAGUUGAAAGUGGUUGAUUCAGUUAUCAAUAUGAUGUAUCUAUGUCUAUAAAGAUGUUGCUAUUUUAUCCGGUGUUCCAUGAACACACCAAGUAGUAUUCAGCUUUACUAAUGCCGUACCAUUUCUUAGCUAACCGGACAAGCAGCUUGCCGCUCUUUGAAGGGAAGUCUAAACUAGAUGGCUCUAGAGGUACUCUGCUUUUGUUAACGUUAAUGCGGCAUACUCAGAGGUCCUCCCCCAUACUCGCCGGAUGAACAGAUUUCUCUCGAAUCUCUUGAGGUAAGCCUUUGCGAUAACAUGAGAAAGCUGCUUACGUAUGAGUGGCUGCUCCAUCUUCGAAAUCUUCAAAGUAUCGAGGUCGCUGAGUGCAAAGGAAUGGUGGAGUUGAUAAGCGGAGCGGGACAAGGCCAAGAAGGAAGCAUAACGACUUCUGUAAACAACACUCCUUCAUCCUUCCAGCCUUCUUCAAUUUCUCUCCCAAAGCUAGAGUGUUUGAAGCUAUGCUAUCUACACCAGCUGAAGAGCAUAUACAAAGCCCCAAUAAGCUGCGAUUUCAUGAAAAGAUUGGACGUGUACGGAUGAUUGACUUAUUUCAAGUGCCAUACGUUGUUGCAAAUGGAUGUUGUACUGUAAAGUUCCAUAUUUACUAAACCAGAAUAAUCACAGGGUCCAUAGAUGUGAUGAAGUACUUGUAUAUCGACGAAAUAAGAUGCAUGUUCCUCUCGCAUGGUUUGACCAGUGUCAUCCUACGAUCUAGGCAAAUUUGACAGUGUUGCUUAAUCUAAACAUUUUGUAUGAAGUACAUUUAUUCAUCAAAAUUGAAUGGUAUUGAUAUGGCUCCAAAUAAGAAACGGAUCAGCAAAACAAAAGUAAUAAAACCCAAGGAAAGACAAAAGUAAUAAAACCCAAGGAAAAAGGAAAAGAAAAAGAAAAUCGAAGUGAUAGUGCAUCAGAAUUCCUGAAUUGGUGGGAGGAACAUUGGCAGGUUUGGCAAACCUGCAACGUCUUAGGACUUGGGAAGUGAAGGGAAAAAUAUCAAAGUUACGGGCAUUGGAGGCUCUUAAUUCUUCCGGACAGACCACAAUGGCUUUUCUCUAUUCACCGGAAAUUGGUGAUGGUGAUGAGGGCCACUCUGAUUGGAGAAAUUUCAUGUAUUUGUUGAGAUCAACGAUGAUGAUGAUCCAAGAUUUGCAACUUUCGAGUGGAGAAAUUUCAUGUAUUUGUUGAGAUCAACGAUGAUGAUGAUCCAAGAUUUGCAAUUUUCGAGAGGAGAAUCAACGUUGAUUGUUGCGAUAAUGCUUGUCAGGGCAGCAGGGAAAAGUUUUUUCCUGGUGGUUUUGCGGCUUUUGCCCCCAAGUGAUGCUGCAAGUUUGCUGGAUUUCCCCCUAACGGUUUUUUGUCAUUUCCCGGAACGUUUUUGGAAUAAUUUUGCAUGUUGUUACAAAGAUCUCAUGCGGUUCGUUUACAGGAUUUUAAUAGGCCUUAUAUUUAUAUAAUUUACCUUCACUUACUCGUUCAAAUAUUUAGGUUGGAUUUUUUCCUAUGUGCAAAUAGCAAUUUUUACGUGAAAUGCAAACUAAACAUGCUUCCUUUUUAUUAUUAUUUUUUCUGCAAUUAAAGUGAUUCCUCUACCCUAAUGCAUACCAGAAAUAUAUUCAAAAGUGUGACAGGAAAAAGAACUCCUUGAAAUUUUGCAAAGUCGGAGGCGCUUUUUAGACCAAGCGAUGUCUCUCGGCUGCAUUGAAAUAUGUCUUCGUUUUCGUUUUCUUUUGUUCUUUUCCUCAAUCUUCAANNNNNNNNNNNNNNNNNNNNNNNNNNNNNNNNNNNNNNNNNNNNNNNNNNNNNNNNNNNNNNNNNNNNNNNNNNNNNNNNNNNNNNNNNNNNNNNNNNNNGCUGUUUUUUUUUUUUUUUUGUGUGUUCUCUGCCCAAACCUUAAUGAAGACUACUAAUUGGUGUUUGGUCUUUCAAAGUGUAGCAUUAUUGAGCAUCAUCAUCAACUCAUCAAGUUCGCUAAACUCAGUCAUCAAUUAACUAACGAUUCUUGUCUAACAGGAACUGCACCAACGUAGCAAGAAAAAGAUAAACAAAAACUCAGGCAAGAACUCAUUCGUUUUCAAGACUCGGUCAUAAAAAUCGAGGAAAAGAAACUAUGAAUAUGUGCCGGAUUUUUCUCUGCUGCCGUGCCCUUUUUAACCUACUUUUGACCCAGAAUUCGACCAUUUACAGCUCUCGGUUCCUUUUGUGUGUUUUCACACUGCUAAUUUCCUUCAUUCACACACGAAGGAAAGUCGUGUUGAAAGUGGCCUCCUUUCGGCCAACCAGGAGGAGGGAACGGAAAGGACUUCACUUCGAAGAGCGGGCACGUCCAAAAUUCUCAUAAGAAUUCCCAUUUAAAUUCGCCUGGAAAUUUAGAGUCGGGUUGUGUAACAGAUUGGUUCACAAUAAUUGCACUCUUAUUAGAAAGGGCAGUACAAUCACAAGAAUGUGAGAUUACAAAUGGAUGUUAUUAUGGGUCAAAUUAUCAGUGUUUUUCUUCGUUAAUUUUUAUGAAGAUGCGAUUGAAACCUUUGAGCUCGUAACAGUAAUUUAACUUAAAAACUAUUGAGUUAUUAUAGUCUUUAAAUCAUUCUUGGGACAUUUUUUUUUUCUUUUGGAUCUGAAGAUCCAAACUACAUAUGAAACGAGUCCCGUGAUUGGGAAAACACGAAUUUAGCAUAUUAUGCUUGCUCCUAAAUAUUUUUAUGUGGAUGCCACAUAACAAGUACCUAUAUAAGUUCAUGCAAAUAGGAUCCAACGAAUUAACAAUCCAAAAUUUGAGAGAAAAUAUGAAGUGAUUUUGUGCAUUUUUGAAACUCUGUUAGUGUACAUUCUUGUAGUUUUUCCUUGUCCAAAUAUACUGAUUUUCAACUUUCACUAAGAUGUUGCAAAUUCAAUUAGAAGCAUAUAAUUAAUAGUCCUAAUUAGCCAAGUCACAAAACCAAUCAUAAGAGAUUCAUUGCGGUUGUCACAAAGUCUUGAAUUGGUGGGAUGGUUAUUCCCAUGGCAAGAGCGGCUAACAUCGCAAACUUCAUCCUCUAGGGAUUAAGUUAAAAUAUUACCUUUGGCACUUAAGGUGUUCUUAUACUCCAUAAUAAAUAUGUUACUUAUUUUAUCAAUUAAUCUACCCUCAAUAAUAUGCUAAUAUUGGUUUAGAUAAUUUGUCGAUUUGGCUAUAACUUGGAAUAAGAGACAAUAACAAUAUAAAUCUAAUAUUGAAAAAAAUUUGUAUGAUUUUUUUUUUCACUUAUUAGUUAUUCUUUUAGCAAUUACCGAAUAACAUCAUUCAAACUGCAUAAUGCCAAAUCUAUUUUUUUUUUCCAAUUACAUUAUGCCAUAAAUGUGCGAAUCAACAUACAUGAUUUCACCUCAAACAAAUGGACUUUUUUUAUGAAUAAAUUUUUUAAAAAAAAAAGAUAGAAAAAUAGCUCAUAUUAGGGCCAUUUACCAGGUAAUGCAAAUUAAAACCAAGUCUUAUUUAUGUCUAUUAAAAAUUUCCAAUGCCAUAUCAUAUCAUUUACACCUAAAAUGCAUAGAAUAUACAUUCGGAGAAGAAGGAAGAUAAGAGAAACUUAAACAAAAGAGCAUUUCUAUCUGUCGUAAGAUAGAAAGUAAACAUCAAAUUUAGAUAAUCUUACUUUAAAUACUUAUGUAGCAAGCACAUUCAUAAAAAUUAGAACAUAAUGUAAGCCUAAACAAUAAUAUAACGAUUGAUUUAUAUAAAGUGUCAAUAUAACAUUAUGCAAAAAAUUUAUACAUGUAAUAUGGGUUCAUAUCAAUAAAUGGAAUUGGAAGUAAAUUUCUGAAUCUGUGCAACCCAUGGGUCUUUGUUUACUACACAUUCUACAAAAAAAUGCAGUCAUAAGUUACAAUUUGAUGGAAUCACCUACCAAUUCUACUCACAUCAUAGGAAAUGUUUUCUAGCAGCUGGAUGGCUUGGAAUAUUUUGGGGCCAGAGAUGGACACAUUUCAUUCAUAUGAGGGUACAGGUCUACUGUAUUGUAUCCUGGCAGCUCCANNNNNNNNNNNNNNNNNNNNNNNNNNNNNNNNNNNNNNNNNNNNNNNNNNNNNNNNNNNNNNNNNNNNNNNNNNNNNNNNNNNNNNNNNNNNNNNNNNNNNNNNNNNNNNNNNNNNNNNNNNNNNNNNNNNNNNNNNNNNNNNNNNNNNNNNNNNNNNNNNNNNNNNNNNNNNNNNNNNNNNNNNNNNNNNNNNNNNNNNNNNNNNNNNNNNNNNNNNNNNNNNNNNNNNNNNNNNNNNNNNNNNNNNNNNNNNNNNNNNNNNNNNUAAAAAAGAUAACCCAACUAGGGUCAAUCAGAUCGCACUUACAGUGAACUCUGUAACAUGAAUGGAGCUAGAAAUUGGAUCAAGAGUCCUGCUGCUUUGUACAUUCAAGAACAAAAGCUACACAAGAGGCGGACUUCCCAUCACUAUAUACCCAAUGGUCUUGCUCUGGAGUGUCAGCAGUUCAGCAAAAGAUGACCCCCUCAUUUCAGUUUCGUGUAUUAGAUUAGGAAGAUCCAAGCCCUGUAUGCAACACAAUCGUAAGGUAGCCAUAAAGUAAAGUAAGUGUAAUUACAACCAUAUAACAUUUGUUAACAGAAUGUCAUCCAAGAGACAUUAGAUUUCAGUUGCACCUCAGUGUGCAAAACAAGAUGCAUAACGUCACACAGACAAUUGCAAAUUGAAUGGGACGGUACCUUUGUUCCUAGUCACUUGUUGAGUGCUUCAUUCCAUAUGUUCGCAGCAUAGGCUGGUUGCACUUGGUUCCAUAGUCAUAACAGAAGCAACCUACAAUAAUACAAUGCUUUCUAUAAAAUGAGUGAACCGCACUCCCAUCACGCGAAUAAAGCACCCCACAUGGUGAGCAUAUUACAUGCAUCGUCAGUCAGGCUGAUAGCAACUCUUAAGAAACAAUGAACAAAGUCUACUAUUUUGCUGUCUUAGUAUCAUAUAGGAGGCCAUAAAAAAUGAAUAAUUGUCAAACUAAGCCAGGUUCUUUUCCAUAACGUUAGCACUCAAUAGAGUCACAUACGAACCUGCUAUUUGGCAAAAUCACUGUUCAUUUUUUAGCCUUUUGUCUUGUUCAGUUGAAUUCAUUCGAAAUCAUGGCAUGAUUGUCUAAUUUCAACUAGAAUGUGUUGUUAGGAUCUAACACACGGCUUAAUAAUAUUUCAAGGUCUAUCAAAGUAAGAGUAAANNNNNNNNNNNNNNNNNNNNNNNNNNNNNNNNNNNNNNNNNNNNNNNNNNNNNNNNNNNNNNNNNNNNNNNNNNNNNNNNNNNNNNNNNNNNNNNNNNNNGCAUCUAAGAAUCUCAAGGCAUCUACAGAUAUACCUUGGAAGUAACACAAGGCCUUAGCGCUAGAAAAUUGUCUAAGGCAACUGAAUGCACCCACAAAAUAUAUAUAAACAUAUAUGAACGUGUACAAUCUCUGUACCACAUGAGCAUCUAAUGGCGGUAGAUAAUUUGCGCCGAUGGUGUCUAUCCAGCUAAAAAGCAUGUUGUGAUAACCAUAUGGUUUCCCAUUCAUAAUCUGUGCAAACUCCCAUGCAGCAGCUCAUUAAAUUUGGCUCACAUAUCAGGAUGCAGUGGAAGCAACGCAAUGUGGGGAUUUGAGUAAUCUUUGUUAAGCUCGAACUCCCACCAUUUUCCCAUGGUAACACAGCAAUGACAUCUUCUCCCUGCAAUGAUAAGAACAAAACAAAACUUGCAUAAUCUCUAUUACUAUGUUAGACUUCUUAGCACCUGACCCCUUUACCAACACAAAGGAACAAAGCAUGUAGCAAAAACCCAAAUGUGACCAUAAAUUUAUUAAUCAAGGUCUGCCUCAAGUAAAGGACGUCAUUUCAUCAAAUUCUAACCAUAAUCAUCAUCAGUAAGUUAUCGUCUCGUGUGUAAGGAUGGUCCUGAAGUUCAGCAGAAAAAGUUCAGACACUGCAUUCCCUAUGUUACAAAUAUGAUGAUGCUCCAAUAGAGCUUCUAGUAGGAGCCUAGAUAGGAUCAGCUGCAGUUCAACAUGAACCUGAAGCAGCAUGUCAUCGUUUACUUACUCAUCCUCUCUUACAAUCAAAAGUUUCUAUGGGAGCACAAAAAGGAAAGACCUAUCUUAUUAGAGAACAUAAGAUGAGCAAGGAGAUUUAAGGACAUAGGGGCAUGACUAAAGCACGCUUAAUAUGCAAAAUGGAACGAUCUCAAUGGGAACCAUAUUUGUGAGAGAAGAAGUCCAUGAUUCGACAAAAGUCACAUUUAUAAAGUAAUCACACAGAAAUACAAUGCCCCAAAAACCUAAGGGUUCAUGAAAUGUUAGAGAAACACAGCAGAAACCCUACUUGUCCUUUUCAAUAUGUAUGAGACCACACUUUGAUAAUCAGAGGACAUUAAAGCAGUAUUGUAUGAGUGUCUUUAAUAAUGAAUGACAGAUAAGCAUAGGGAAUUUUUUUUUUUUUUUUGGGUCGGUAAGCACAGGGAAUUAAAGAGAUGGAGAAAUAAUGACUCAAACAAUUCUGGGGGUGUUUGAAACAUUUGAACGUUUGUCUAUUGGAUAUCCCCAUAUAGGAACAAUGUGGACAAUUAUUGUGGAAGACUGGCAUACUUACAGCCAUGUUAAUAUUGUGUCUAUGCAAUUGGUUUAAAACUUUACUUCACAAUUACAAUUGCAGAGACAGCAGCAGGCAAAAAGAUUGGAUGAAAUGUCGAACAUCAAAAGCAAUCCAUCAAUGUAUGGAAAAAAAAGAACGNNNNNNNNNNNNNNNNNNNNNNNNNNNNNNNNNNNNNNNNNNNNNNNNNNNNNNNNNNNNNNNNNNNNNNNNNNNNNNNNNNNNNNNNNNNNNNNNNNNNNNNNNNNNNNNNNNNNNNNNNNNNNNNNNNNNNNNNNNNNNNNNNNNNNNNNNNNNNNNNNNNNNNNNNNNNNNNNCCAACCCAAAGCUUUCCUUCAGCAUCCCUUAAGCACACAGCUGUGUGACCAGCAUAUGCGCCACUGACCCAUUUCUCUAGAGUCCCAAAACCACCCCACCUUCCACGAAUUUUUGAAAUUGCAAUGAAGUCUCCAGAGUGGAUAUCAUCAAUGCUGAUGUUUGUAACCCAGGGCUGGGGACGUUGCUCAAAUGAAGCUCCCAUAUGCUUCUUGAGAAAACCAAUGUUAGAUUUCUCCCCUCACCCGGUAUUUGAAAACAAGGAAACACAUCCCACAGUGCUUGAAGGGUCCCAAGCAUCCCAGCUUGCAUCAGAAAGAUUGACACUCCUCUACUUUUCACCUGCAAUCAAAAUAAUGGAAAAUCAAAGUUUGACAACUCGCCAAUAUGCACAAGCAAGAGCAGAAGAGAAAAAAGAUAAUUGCAGCUUACAUAUUCAAACUCAGCUUUUCCUUCCCACUCUUUGAACUCAAAUGUGUGCUCACGAGAUAAAAGAUACUAGUCCCAUGUCACGCAGUAUGGGGUUGCAAAGACAUAAAUAUCCAUACACGUCCAGCUAUGGGCUUUGCUCACCUGGAUGAGCAAUCCAAACUCAUGGUUACAAGCCGGAUACCUACAACUAGUUGUUAGUUUCCAUAUUCAGCAGAACUAGAUGCAAAAACAAGGACUAUGAAGCAUCAACACGAGGCAGUACCCACCCAAACUGGAAUAGCCUCCAUAAGAUAAUUUGAUUUUACAUCAAACGAAACAAUUGUACUUGUAUGAGCAACCAAAUCACUAAAUCCUUCUUCAACCACUUAAAACCUAGACACAAAAGACUCAAGUGACCAACCAUGGUACCAAUUCGUGGAGCUUAAUCAAAGUACAAACAAGCAGAUGAAAGGAGAAGGAAGAAAAAAACUUAGCUAGUGACGAAAUCCACUAGAAACAUAUUGAAGUAAGAACUGAAAAAUUCCAUCACUCAGAUUCCAACAUAAAUAGCAGAUGAGAAAAGAGAACAGUUGGGAUCAAGUGGCAUGGGCCCAAACAUCGAAAGGAUAUUCUCUAACGUCCUUUNNNNNNNNNNNNNNNNNNNNNNNNNNNNNNNNNNNNNNNNNNNNNNNNNNNNNNNNNNNNNNNNNNNNNNNNNNNNNNNNNNNNNNNNNNNNNNNNNNNNAGUGAUUUUCUUUCACAACUCUAUAGAUAAGUAUGACGCACACUUCAGUUGGUAAGAAAAAUUCGUAAGUAGAUAGAAACUCUAUCCAGUUUAGAGCUUUGAAUCCAUUAGAAAAAAUCGACCUCAAAUUAACUAAAAUAGAAGCUCAAACUAAGUUAAUCGGAAACUGGGAAAAGCUGCCCAAACGAUGGCCAUUAGACCCCAUCAAACAAACUCCUACAACCUCACAUCUCCUAGAAUUAUCACACAAUCCGAACUGCAGUGAAUUGAAUUAAGCACUAACAUUCGACCAGAGAACCUUAAAAGCUCGUGAACAGUGACUGUCUCUGCACAUUACCAAGCCGCCACAAGCUCAAGCAUCCCAAAAUCUUCCAGAAUCGCACUCAAACACAAGUAUUUCCAUUCCAUCCCGUUCCCCACUAUUCACCAAACAAAAAACAAGACUUGGAAUCAUCACUCCAGUCCAUUCCUUUCCCCAUCAUUUCCCGAUUUCAUUCCAUUCCACCGUACCAAACCCAACGUAAUAGUCAACUAGAAAACCUCAUCUUCCAGAAUGGCACUCAAAACCAAACGGAGACCAAGCAAAAGCGACGCGAUAAAACUAAAGAACGGACCUUAAUGUGAGGCGUGCCUCCGCCGAACUUGCUCCCGGUGUUGUUGUGGAACUCCAACCAAGCGGUCGGAGGAAAAAACGGUGCCGACGAAGGCGGGCAACAGGUCCAGGGGACGGCGAAGGGCGUUGAGGAUGGGCCAGGACAGCUGCUUCGGCAAUAGAUGGAGUAUGUUCUCCAUGGUGGAAUGGUGGUUUCGCGGCUCGAGAGCGCGGGUUGAGCAGAGAGGAGAACGUGAAGAGGAAGAGAAGCAGCAGAAAUUGGCUGACGAGAAGCCAUUGAAAUUGCGAGAGAGAGAGAGUCACCUCUCCAGCGACGGUCCACUUCUUUUUAGUGUCUCGCGCUACACUAUAAAAGGUGUAGGGGUAAGAGGAGCCACUCGUUUUGAUUACAUCCUUGGACGCUUGGUAAUUUAGGGUGCUUAACCAGUUAAAUGAAACAUUAAAGCAUAAUCGGGGCUGAAAAUAUUCUGUAUUCUUAUAUUAUGUAUUAAUGUUGGCAAAAAUCUUAAAUUAUAUCCAUCGUGACAUUAAUGUCUCGAAUUAGUAUUGAUUUCGUGGCGAACAAAAGUUAAGAUUUUUAGAGACAAGCUAGAGGUAUUUCCACUUCAAAUAUAAGUUUUAAGUGUAAAGAAGGGCGAUUAGAAGUCUCCAUGGAGGACCUAACCCUAUGGGAAGAUAUAUUGCUUACCCACCCCCUUGUAGCUUACCGUCAAACUACGGCCAUUGAUAGCUUCAAAUUGGCUUAUAUUGCCUAUCCCUCACCCUCUUAUAUUGCCUCAACAACUUUCACUACACCGCCCUCUCAGGACUUAGUUAACAUCAAGAGUAUCCUUUUAUUUAUAUGUUGUCAGUACGAACUUGACAUUUAGCUUGAUUUCGCAAUAACCAUGCAAUCUUCCUUGUUGCUAAAUUGUGUCUUGAGUUUGAGCCGAAUCCACACCUUAUUGCUCAAAGUCACGCACGAAAUGCAAUGCGCACACAAGUCUUGGACCUUUUUUCUCUACUUCAUUAAUGCUAUGCUUGCACGAAUCUCCUCCUGUGUCCCCUUAUCAUUUUAUCUUCUUUUUUUGGUUCGAAUCCCCUUUUGUCAUUGAAGGAGCUGAACGUCCAUUUUUCGCCCUCACUCCACAGCGCUCCCUAUUUCGGAUUCUCGCUCGAUCAGCGAAAUGAGAAAACUUGGCGCCGAAGUGGACGUCGGAAAUGGCGGUGAUGGCGACGUUCUUGAGGCCUAGCCUCAAUAUUCGAGUGGAAUUGAGAGGGUGCUUCCAUUCCAGACAGUGGUGGAGAACUGUGACGCUCACGGGGUGAUCGAGACCCCGGAGAUUGGAUCCGAGCACAGAGGCACGUGAGUCGUUUUCGCGUUUUCAUGGAACAGGGGUGGACGUUGGUGAUCUGGAUGGGGAAAGGAUGGAGCUUGAGGAGGAUGGUCAGGGACGCGUAUAGAAACGGACUCGACUUAGGGUUCAAGAACGGGUUUACAAAUGGGAUUCAGGUUGCGAAAUGGACCUGCAUCUUUCUAGGAUGGAGAAGUUUUUUCCAGAAAUUGUGAGACGAUUUCGGGAAUUUGAAAGAAACGAGAAGGACCAGAGCACAGGGCAAUUUUAAUUUAUUUUGGCCAAACGUUCGAGCAAUAGUUUCGAAUUACUAAGGAGUAUAUAUAAAUUUCAGCACGGUGACCUCUUUGGUUCAGAUCGGAAAAGUAGUGUGGGGGUGGUGUCUCGCCGCCCUCUAGCGAUACACAAGGGCCUGGCAGUGCAACGUUGUGGGCUUAGUAGGGCUUUUAGGGCUUAUUUGCCGGAUAUUCAUCGAUUUCUGGCCGAAUACAUGGCAACAACCAACGGCGGAGGUUGUUCUCAUGGGACAGCCACAGCCAUGGUCGCCGUCCCCUGAAAUGAUUAAGUUAAACAAUUUGUCAAAUUGCUUAAUUCAACAAUUUCGCACUCAACAGUGUCGACUUCGUAACUCACUUUCUCUGAUGAAAAAUGACCAAUAUCAUGCGUUUAAACCACAGUAGGCAUCGGCUAAGAUCAAAACGUUCAGAUUCAGCCGCAACAAGUCAACGAUGAGGCCCUUGAAAGACUUCUAUCCUUCCAAAGUCUUUUCUUGACUUAGGCAAUUCCAUUUGUUUCUUCACAUACUUGUUCAAGUUUUUGGGUUAGACUGUCAUGUGCUGAUGACUUAAUUAUUGCGUGAUUAUAUUAUUAAACUAAAUAAUUUGAUAGAUUAUGAUUGAUCUUAUUAAGCCAACUGCAUUUGAUAUUUUCACGUUAUUUGGCAUACAAAAUGUCGAUAUAAAUAGUAUAAUUCUAGGGGCUAAAAUUGUAAUUGACUCAAAGGCGAACGCGUAUUUGUGAGUAAUACCGUCAAACUCCUUUUGAGAUUCUCCUUCCAAGGCAUGUUCUCCUACUUAGAUAACUCGAUCAGUUUCCUCUUUUUUUCAAUAAUAUAAUUUAAUUUCCCUUUAUUAAUUUUCUCUAUUUAAAUCUAGUGUAUUUCUCUACUAGUGUUUUCGCUCCUGGUGAAAUAAGGGGAUUAAAUUUAUUUGGUCGGUUAACUAUCAACGUCAAUUAAGAUUUAAUUUCUUUCUAUCUCUUUUUGUAAAUAUUUAUACACAAAAUUCUUAUUGUGUAUUUUUGUCAAUAAAUUAUUUUCAUGAUUUAAUAAUUCAUAUAUUUUACCAAAAAAAUUAUUUAAAUUAAUUUUUUAAAUACCAAUUGUUCCCACACACAUAAUGCAUAGCGGGUGAUAAAUAAAAAGCAGAAGAUCCUCAUAGGAGAAAAGGAGCCCGCGUAUAGCACGAUUUCAUUCUCUAGAAUUAAUUAUUUUCUUAAGAAGGUAUUUCACAAUUUCCAAGUUGUCUUUGAAUUAAUCGAGUCUUUCUUAAAUAUCAAUCUACAUAUUGGCUUUCUAAUUGUUGAAUGGGUUUAGUACCCAUGGAUAAUAAGUAAUGCUACAAAGACCUUAGAAGACAAAAAGGAUUUUCACCCUAUAUGAUGUCAUGUGUUCUCAUCGCCCUAAGAACAUAUGUUAGCUUGUCAUACUAUCUAAUGGGCUAGGAUGCAAAAGUCACAAUAUAGCCGUAUGUAGUAUGGCCAUUAAAAAUGCAGAAUAAACAUGGUUUCUUUUUAUUAUUAUUUUUUUUUUACGAAUAAAGUGAUUCAUUUAUUCAAAAGCAUAUUGGAAAUAUAUGACAUGAAUGAUUUAAAAAGUAAAGAAAAAGAAAUUCCUUGAAAUUUUGUAAAGUCGGAGGUGCUGCUCAAAUCGAGGAGUGCGGGUGGUCCCAGCAAAGUGACGUUAAUGUACAAGAAACAAAAGGUAGGAAAAGUAAUAAGAGCAACGUGCAGAAACGACGACGGCUUGGCGUGGAACGAGCAUGGCUUUAAGCAAACACAGAAGCGGCGCAUCUCUCGAUAUUUUGAUGUCGCCUAUUCUUCCUCUUCUUCUUCUUUUUUUUAAACUGAUAAGGCUGCUCCGGAGCCUCUCUUCAUUUUCGUUUUUUUUGUUUGUUUUUUCCUCCUCAUUUUUCCAACCACAUCCUCACCAUAACGCGCCUUCUCUCUUUUGUCCCCUAGCUCUCCCCACUUUCUUUCGCCCGACUCUCUCUUCUUGUCUUGCUUUCUUUUUUGGGUUCCCCGCCCAAACCCUUAAUGAAAGAUUAAUUGCUGUUUAGUAUUUGUUGACGCCUCAAAUUUUAAUUAAGUUUAUUUUAUCUUAUUAAUUAAUUUUUUAUUUUAUUUAUCUUGUCUUUUUUCGAAAUAAAAACAGCAAAGCAAAGCAAAGCAAAAGAAAAAAAAAAGAAAAAAAAAAAAGAGCAGCCUUUGUAUGGGCCCUCGGCCCAUUUCGUCUCAGCCCAGCCCCCCCCACUUCUUCUUCUUCCUCGCGCAGUUGCAGUGCACAAGCAGAGGGCGCGACGCCGGAGCGGAGGGGAGGAGCAACAAUGGCGCACGUGGAGCAGGGGGCGGCUGGCGUCGGAUAAGAACGUGGGAGGGGCAGCUGGCGUCGGAUGGGACGCCGGUUCGGCCGGCGGAGGCCGCUUGGCGCACGGGGACCGGCGGUCGAAGCUCCGUCGACCGGCUGCUCCCUCGCCUAUAAAUAGGCCCCCGUUUCCGUUGUCGAAGGGGCACGCCAGAAGAUCGCAAGCUUGGAAACUUCUUCCUGAGAGACUUCGGAGGAGGUUGAAGGGCGAGCGAGAGAGAACUCGGGUCGCGAGUUCGGCUGACCUCCCACUGAGAGACUUCGGGGGAGGCUGCCGGCGAGCGAGUCCGAGGUGGUCAGAUCCGGCCGGUGGAGGCUCGGAUCUGGCCGGAAGAGAGAGAGGCCUGCGAGCUCCGAGAGAUCCCCUGAGAGACUUCGGGGAACUCAAAGAGCGAGCAACGACCUCCCUCCGAGAGACUUCGGGGGAGGCCGGCGGCGAGCGAACCCGGAUCUGCGAGAACUCGAGAGCGGAGAGAGGAGAGAGAUCGAAGCCGCGAGCAUUCAAGCUUCCCCCGAGAGACUUCAGGGGAGGCUCGACGCUCGCGAGCCCAGAUCAAAGGGAGGGAGCAGAGUUCGGGCACCCUCCGCCGUCGUAGCCGCCGCCGUCGCCACCGUUCGCCGUUCAAGCUGCCGUUCACGGACAGGUAGUGCUACCGCCGCCGCCGCCGUCGCCGUCGCCGUCGCCGUCGCCAUAGCCUCCCCCCCCUCUCCACAGUUCAACCGCCGUCGCCGCCGUCACCGUCGUCCCCGCGGUUGUGCCUCGGCCCUCUCCCCCCUCGGCGCCGCGGAUUCGCAAACCCUAGAUUUCCGGGUCACGAAGCGGAUCCGGGUUUGGAAAGCGGGUAGGGUUUUCGCGAUUUAAGGGGCGGCGGAAACCGGGUCGGGAGUUGGGUCGGACCCGGGUAGGGUUUCGCUAGGAACCCGGGUCGUCGGGCCGGGCCGGGCGUCCCCAAACGCCCGACCACGGCGUCGUUUAAAAAAAAAAAAACGAUGAAAAAUCUGACUCGGGCCCGCGUUUGGGUCGCCGACCCGGGUCGGACCCAACCCGCGGAUCCGACCCGGGUCGGUUUUAUUUUGUUAUUUUAAUAUAAAAUAAUAAAUAUUUUAUUUUCAAAAAAAAAAUCAAAAAAUGUUUUAUUUUCAAAAAAUAUUUAAAAAUGUUUUAAUUUCCAGAAAAUCAAAAAUAUUUAAAAAAUAUUUAAAAAAUGUCGAAAAAUGUUUUAUUUUCUAAAAAAUCGUGAAAAAUCAAAAAUAAUUUAUUUUCCAAAAUAUUUUGAAAAAUAAUAAAAAAUAUUUUAUUUUCCAAAAAAGAAAAUUAAAAAUAUGCCAAAAAUCCAAAAAAAACCAAAAAUUCAUGAAAAAACAAAAAAAAAAAUUCAGAAAAGCCAAAAAGACAUGUGUUUUUCAAAAAAAAAAACCCAAAAAAUCCCUUUUGCGUCCAAAAAUAAAAAAAUGACUCAAAAAAUGUUUUUCCUCCAAAAAAUGCAUGGAAAAUCUCUCAAACAUCCAAAAAAGCCUUAGAAUCCUUAGGGUUUAAACAAAGAUUAAGUACCGAAAGGGCAUUAGUGAUUAACUAAUGUAAUCAAGUCCCCGAUCCUAAUUUCUCUAGUUACGCAGGAGCGAGUAUUUCUCCCGAUACUUCGCUUGGGUUUUUAAUCGACCCACUCCAAAUCGAUUAGUGGCGACUUCAUUUUAAAAAUUGAUUUAUAGGUUAAAAACUCAAACUAUUAAAGUCGUGAAUUGAUGAACUUGGGAGAGUAUGGGCAUAAUUAAAAUUAGCCGAGCCAUUAGCCUUCUUUUUUUGGUUCCCCGCCCAAACCCUUAAUGAAGAUUAAUUGCUGUUUAGUAUUCCAAAGUCCAGCGUUAUCGGGCCCCAUCAUCGACCUAUCAAGUUCGCUAAACUCAGUCAUCAAUGGACUGACUAUUUUUGUUUGAACACGAGCUGCACCAACAUGACAAGAAAAAGGAAAAUAAAAACUUAGGCAAGGGCUCAUUGAUUUCUAACACUUGAUCAUACAAAUUUUUGAAAAGAAAUUUUAAUAUCAUUGCUUUGAGGAUGGACGCACUCUCAACAAGUGAACUCGCGUGAUCAAAUUCAGUAAUACGACAGAAUCAUCUCAAAGAUUUAAGUUUAAUAGUUAUUUUAUACGGCGAUCAUCAUAGGAAUGUGGCAAUUUCGAGCGCCUGCAAUGCGAUGUCUUGAUGUAUCAUAGGAAUGUUAUCUAGAUAUACAAACGGCAAAGGAGCAACAACAUAUCGGCAAUGACUUGGGUAGUAAUGAUGCAUCUAUGAGGCCUAUCCUUAUUCGAUUUUUUUUCUAUUUGUUUUUGUUCAUGUUUUCUUUCUCAAACCACUCUAAUAUGAAUUAAAUAGUAGAUAUCUUAAUAUAAAAUCAACAAUAGAAUUCUCCGUUUCGUUUUGGAACUCAUCGAAUGAGACUUUUUCUCUAAUUUUUUUACUAAUCCAUUUAGAUUACAUUUUAUAUUAUCACUAAAGUUUUAUUGUAAUUUAACUUGUUGUUAUAUCAUCCAUAGAAUAAUCAUAUUAUCGAUAUUGUAGAAAACAGAUAAAUAAAAUCAAACAAAAUCGAAAUGCUCAUUAGACCAUAGAAUAAUCAUAUUAUCGAUAUUGUAGAAAACAGAAAUUUUAAUGAUUUUUAACUACUAACUAAAAUAUGUAAUGUGUUUCUAGCUAGUAUCUCGUUCUGUUUUCUUCUCACCCCCUAGCUCUAUCCGCAAUGAUCGAGCCGUGAUCAUGUGAAUGCUUGACUAAAGCCUCCCUUCAGCCGCGUUUUUUCCUGCUUUUUAUGUCCCUACUUUUUUCAGUAAAUCUUUGCCCAAGAUAUGGUCCAUUAUGAGGGGGUGCUGGUUUUUCUAUGUCGCGUCCGCUUCUGAACCACCUUUUUGAACCAGAAUUCCACGAUUUCUGGCCUCCCUUUCCCUGUUUCUGUUCCUUCGUGCGUUUUCACGCUGCUAAUUUCCUUCAUUCACACCCCGCGGGAAUGCCGUGUGGAAACUGGAAAGUAGCCUCCAGUCGACCAUUUCGGUCAGCCAGAAGGAGGGAGCGGAGAGGACUUUUAUUUGGAGAGCAGGCUGCGUCCAAAACUUCCAUAAGAAUUAUCAUUUAAAUUCACUGCGGAAAAUUUAGGGUUAGAUCGUGUAAGGUUGGUUCAUAAGAAUUCACAAUCAGGAAUGCAAUGGAGAGAGAGAGAGAGAGAGAGAUUUAUGGGAUUAUGAAUGUAUUUUUAUUAGGAGUCAAAUUAUCAGUGAAUUUGAUCGUUAAAUUUCAUUAAAAUGCGAAUGAGACCUUUAAACGGAAAUUUAUGUAUCAACAAUAAUUAAUCUUACAAAUUAGUAAGUAAUUGUUUCUCGUUAAAUCAUCCCUUAGUUGAAUUUUUUUUUCUUUUUAGUCUAAAGAUCUAAAUUGCAUACAAAAUUGGUCUUGUGAAUUCAUUAGUAUAGGUAAUAUUCUAAAUUUGAGUCAAUAUUUAUGCAAAGUAAAUAAGCAGCAGUACUCACGAAGAUUUUCCUAUUGAUUUCUAGAGGCAAAAAAGAGCAAUGCUAUGCAUAAGAGAACUGGAUAUUUAUAUAUAUUAAGAUGGAUAGAAAAUGAUAAGGAAAAUAGUGCGGUAGCUCUCUUAAGAAAAUUUUGUUUUUAAUUUUUCAUUUUCCUUGGAAAGUCUAGAGAAUUUGGCAAUUAAGUAAACCAUAGUUUAACAUUCCAUAAUAAUUUUCCACCUCAUUCGGUGCACUAAUUUUUUUAUAUAUUUACAUAUUUAGCACCAUUUCGGGCAAGACAAAGAAAGAUAAGUAGGCUCAAAAGUUUAUCGGGUGCACGUUCGCAUGAGUUUCCUCGUGGUUAAAGCUGAAAUUGGCUCAAAGGCGAACGCGUGUUCUUGAGUAACACUGUCCCACUCCCUUUGAUGACGAUGACAUCAGAGACAAUUACCCGACACUAUUGAAAAGAGAGAGAGAGAGAGAGAGGGGGGGAAGAGGUCUUAUCGUGGCUUCCAAAAGAGGCCACUUGAAAUCUCUUAAAAAAAGUGAAAGUUAUGCGAGGUGGAGUAUAAAUAGACAAAUUGCUCAUUAUUUUUGUUAAUAGAUUAUUGUCUAGAAAUGAAAAAGAAAAAAAAAAGAUGUAAAUAGUGAAGCAAUGAGGCAGCAAUAAAAUAGGAAACUUGUCAACCCCCAUGCAUUAUAUUAAAUUAAAAUAUUAUUAAGUCCAUUGUCGGUCUAGAAAAUAAUUUGCACAUUCCCGAUUAAGAGUUGACACGUGAAAUAAUUCACUGGCAAAAGCAACUUCAAACACAUAUGUCACUCAUUCACGAUAAAUGUGUAUUGAGGUUUUAACAUUGAUUAUGCUUCCAACAAUAAUCCAUUAAAUUACUAGGUUUUUCGGCUAACAAUUUUUCUAUAUUUAGUUUAAAAUAUUAAAAUAAUAAGACCAAACAGAUAAUAUAUUCGGAUGUUCAAAAUUUUUACCCAUGGGUUAAUUAGGAAUGCCAACUAUUUAAUAAAAUAUUCAAAAUAUUAUUAUUUCAUAGUAUCUAGAGAAUGAAAAUAAAUAAAUAAAAAAAGUCAAAGUCAUGCGAGGGUGAAAUAAAAGCAAUCAAAUCAUUAAAGAGAGAAAAAUCAUUUUUAUUUAUUAUAGUAAUAGGUUAUAGUGUAGAAUGAAAACGAAAAAAAUAUAAAUAAAAGAAAGGGUAAAAGCAUGCGACGACACCUAUCUAAUGUGCCAUUGCUCCAGGAGGCCUCCACGUAGCACCCGAGUUGUCUAUUCCACCGUCCAUCUCGCCGACACGACGGACGGGAAAAAAACCCACGCCGGACCCCCCCCCCCCACCCCCGAAACGGCACAUGUUGGUGUCAGCGGGAGCGUCGGACCGGGCCCCGCCCCGGUUCACGAGGAUCGCCACCGAUGACGUGGACAUGUCGAGAAGGGGGGCAGGAUCAAAGCAACGGACGGCUUGGAGGUGUGGUCGUUCGGCUUGUCGUACGCCUGGCCAUGUGAUCACAUGAAUCGGGCGUACUACGGUCAGGGGGAACAAGGGGAGAGGGUGGGGCCCGUUGGGCCGGGGAAUGUAGUUAGGCCAUGAUGAUGGACGGCUGGAUGGACGCGUGGUCGUUCGGCUUGUCGUACGCUUGGCCAUGCCAUAAGUCGGGGAUUUCUCGGGGUACGGUCAGGGGGAACAAGGGGAGUGUGAAUGUGAAAAUCGAUCCCCAAUGAACACAAUCAACGCCUCCUGACCCAGCAUCUAGGGGGGAGAAGGUUGUCAUUGGUGAUUAGGCCUUGUAAAUUGGUAUUUUCAUGGUUUGAUUUUAAUUUGAUAAAUUUACCUAUACAAAAGUGCUAAAAUAAUCUAAGCGGGGAGAUCAACCAUAGUCCAACAGAGACCAAUAUUAGUUUGACGUGAUAUUGCUAUGGUUGUUACGUUUGUUGUCCGACAAUGAUAUAACGUGCGAUUAUGUUUGUGACUACGGACUUCUGUAUUGAGUUGUGAUUUACGUGCUUUUUCUAGCGGUAAAAUAUAACAUAUUUGUAACUUUUAACAAGGUCGCUAAUUCUGUUAAAAAAAAAACAGGGUCGUUGAUUAGAAUUCGAUACUUUGACCAAGUCCAAGUCUCUCCCUUUCUCUCACACAUAGAAACAUGAUGAAAUGAUAAACGACGGAGACGUUUCUUGCGCGUGUUCUAAGCAAGUGUGCUGUUUUCUCUUAUGGCAGAGUCCCUCUCGAUUCUUCACCAAAACCUGUUCAUUCCCAUUUCCAGCAGCAGUUGAAUGCCCUUGUUCCUCUAGGAAUUGGGUUUCCGCCUUUGAAAGAAGAUGAGAAAGAAGUAGUCGAGAGAAGAGGAGAAGAGAAUUUUCUUUGUAUUAUGUAUAUCAUUCAAUGUACAAUGUCUACUAUGUUUAUAAUACAAAAUGUGUAUAAGAAAAGCAAGUAAAUAUUUUACAAUUUGGAUCCGAUUAGAUCCGAUACUAAAUGAUCGUGAUUGAUCUUGAAUGAUGUUGUGAAUCUUCAUGUGUAUCUUCUAACAAUCCCACUCAAGUUGAUGGCUUGUAAAUAUCCGAGAUGCCUAGCUUGCUUAGAAGAUACGCGUGCUGGCUUUGACACAAGGGUUUAGCGAAGACGUCCGCUGGUUGCUCUUCUGUUCGGAUCCCCAGUGUCUCGAUUAUCCCUUGUUGGAUCUUUUCUCGUGCAAAAUGGCAGUCCACCUCUAUGUGUUUCGUUCUUUCAUGAACUAUUAGGUUUGAGGCAAGUUUGAGGGCCGCAUCAUUAUCCCAAAACAAUUUGGUUGGCCCUUCAACUUGUACCCCAAGAUCUCGAAGAAAUCCACGUAGCCACACUACCUCACAUGUGGUCUUUGCCAUGGCUCGAUAUUCCGCUUUUGCUGAGGAUAAUGAAACAGUCGGUUGCUUCUUUAUCUUCCAUGAAAGUAAAGAAUCCCCUAACUUGAUACAGAAACUUGUUAUGGACCUUCUGCUCAUCGAACAUGUCGCAUAAUCUGCAUCACAAUAUGCAGUCAUCCUCAUAUCACAUUUCUUGGAGAGGAGAAUCCCAAGACCUGGACAUUUCUUCAAAUAUUUUACCACUUUGAGUGUUGCAUUCAUGUGGGACUGCUUUUGAUUGUGCAUGAACGACUAGGAGUUUGCACAGCAUAACUGAUAUCCGGCCUGGUUAUAGUUAAAUAUAUGAGUUUCCUAACAAGUUUCUGAUAAGUCAUUGGAUCCUCAAUGUAGGAUCGGGUUCUUAAGAGAUUCCAGUAUCAUACUCUGCUGUGGUCAAUUUGAUAUUUUGCUUGAUUGGAAUUACAACCGGCUUACAUCCUGACAGUCCGACUUCUGAUAUGAUUUCUAAGGCAAAUUUUCUCUGGUUGAGAGAUAUUCCUUGGUCUUAACUAACUGGACAAGCAGCUUACUGCUCUUUGAAGGGAAGUCUAAACUGGAUGGCUGCAGAGGUACUCUGAUUUUGUGAAUGUUAAUGCUACAUUCCUUUUUUUUAACAUGGUGGAAUGAUGUAGUCUAUCCUGCGGCUCAUACAAUCCUUGAUGGCAUAUGAUUACAGCACAGAUCUCAAUCGUACUGCUAACAUCUGAAGUUUGGGAAGUACUAUUUACAGGAAACCUCCUUGGAGCGAGUAUGAGCGGGNNNNNNNNNNNNNNNNNNNNNNNNNNNNNNNNNNNNNNNNNNNNNNNNNNNNNNNNNNNNNNNNNNNNNNNNNNNNNNNNNNNNNNNNNNNNNNNNNNNNUUUUCUCUGUUUGUCCUUCCAAGUAAUAUGCUUCUAACCAAAUAUGUGUCACCGUUUUCUGUUGGAAGUUCGGGACUGUGCAUAUUACCAUUUGUUAUGUGAUAUGUGUCUUUAUUUUCUAUUUAAGGUUUAAUCAUUAAUGUAGGGUCAAGCUAUAUUUAAGGUGAUGCAAAGUUCUCCACCAAUACCUAAGACGUUAUCUGCUGAGGGAAAGGAUUUCCUGCAGUGCUGCUUUUGAAGAGAGCCUGCCGAGAGGCCUUCAGUUGUUAUGCUACUUGAGCAUGCUUUCUUGCAAAUUUGAAGUGAUGACUGACUUAUUUCGAGUGCCAUACCUUGUUGCAAAAGUGAUGUCGUACUAUAAAGUUCCAGAUUUGCUAAACCAAAAGUAUCAUGAGGUCCAUAGGUGUGAUGAAGUACUUGUCUAUCGACAAAAUUAAAUGCAUGUCUGAGAGGUGGCAUACUUUGAUCUAGGAAAUUUGACAGUAUUGCCUAAUCUAAGCGGAGAUCUAGGCAAUUUGAAAGUCUUGCCUAAUCUAAACAUUUUACUAUGGAGUGCAUUCUUAUCAUAGACAUUUUGUCUAUUACUUUAAUUUCAUCAAAAUUGAAUGGUAUUGAUAUGGCUCCAAGUAAGCAACAAAUCGGCAAAACACAAGCAAGAAACCCAGAAAAGAAAAAGGAGAAAGAAAAUCCAAGUGAUGAUGCAUCAGAAUCCCUGAAAUAAUUUUGGAAGCAAGUACUCCGUCGAUUUGGUUGGGGGAACAUUGGCAGGUUUGGCAAACCUGCAGUAUCUUAGGAUUGGGGAAGUGAAGAGAAGAGUAGCAAAGUUAUGGGCAUCGGAGGCUCUUGAUUCUUCCUUUAAGAAUGUCGAUCUCAACAAAUACAUGAGAUUUCUCCAACUAGAGUGGCUCUCAUCUCCAUCACCAAAUUCCGGAGAGUUAAGAAAAGCCAUUGGGUGUCUGUGGAUGUAAAUGAUGAUGAUUCAAGAUUUGUGACUUCCGAAAGGAGAAUUGACGUUGAUUGUUGCAAAUAGCUCGUGACUUGUGUCUAUAUUUCAUCUUGUGUCUAUGAAAUGCAAAUAGCCCAUGAAUUUUGUUUAAAAUAUCUCACGUCGUUCAUUUACGAGAUUUUAAUGGGCCUAAUAUUUAUUUAAUUUCCCUUCAACUAUUUGUUCAAAUUUUUGGGUUGGACUUCCUCAUGCGUGCGUGAUGGCGUUAUUGCACGAGUAUAUUGCGUUAUCUACUCAUCACCAAUACAUCGCAAGAUUCAUCGUGACAGGAGCUUUUGCUCAUGGGGCUAUGAAAAAGUUAAGUGCUAAAAAAUAUCAACUCUAUAUUUUUGAUGAUAUACUAAACAAUUUGAAAGACUAUGAUUGGCCUUAGUAAGUAAGUCACAUUUUACAUUUUCACGUUAUUUGGCACACAAAAUGUCGAUAUAAUUAGUAUUAAUUCAGGGGCCGUAAUUGUAAUUGGCUCAAAGGUGAGUGCAUCUUCAUGAGUAAUACCGGCAAACUCCUUUUGAGAUUAUCCUUCCUAGGGCAUGUUCUCCUACUUAGAUAACCUGAUAAUUUUCCUCUUUUUUCGAAUAGUAUAAUUUAAUUUCCCUUUAUUAAUUUCCUCUCUCUAGAUUAGUGCAUCUCUCUACUCGUGCGUUCGUUCCUGGUGAAAUAAGGGGAUUAAAUUAAUUUUGUCGGCUAACUGUCAACAUCAAUUAAGCUUUCUCUCUCUCUCUUCAUAAAUACUAAUACACACAUCUCUUACUGUGUAUUUUUAUCAAUAAUUUCUUUUCAUUAUUUAAUAAUUCAAAUAUUUUAUAAACAAAGACUUGAAUUAAAAUUUGUAAAAAUUUGUAAAUACCAAAUGUUCCCACACGCAUAACGUGUGUAUCGGGUGAUAAUAAAAAGAGGAAGAUCCCCAUUGGAGAAAAGAGGUCCAGAUAUAUUAAUACGGUUUCAUUCUCUAGGAUCAAUUAUUUUCUUGGGAAGGUAGUUCGCGAUUUUCGAAUUGUCUUUGAGUUGACCGGGUCUUAAGCGACUUUUUUUUCUUAUGACUCUCGCCUGCAUUUGGACUCUUAUCUCCAUUUUCGUUUUCUUUUGUUCUUUUACCAAACCCUAACCAUAAUGCUCCUUUUCUUUUUUGUCCCUUUGUUCUCGCCCUUUUCUUUCGUACAACUCGCUCUUCUUUUCCAGCUGUUCUUUUUUUCUUUUCUUUUUUUCGGUUCUCUGCCCAAACCCUUAAUGAAGACUAAUUGGUGUACGAUGAUAUUGAGCGCCAUCGUCGACCGAUCAAGUUCGCUAAACUCAAGUCAUCAACGGACUGACUAUCCUUGUUUGAACAGGAGCUUCCACCAGCGUGGCAGGAAAAUGAAAGCAAAAACUCAAGCAAGAACUCAUUGAUUUUCUAAGAUUUGGUCAUAAGUAUCGAUGAAAAGAAACUUUAAUACUGCUGCUCCGAGAAUGGAAGCACUCCCAACAAGAAAACCCAAGUGAUCGAAUUCAAUUCACGGCGGAUGAUGCGAGUUUAACAGUCAUUCUCUACGACAAUCACAAUAGCGAUGCAGUAAUUUUGAACUCCCCAGUGAGAUGUCUCUUGAUGCGGCAGAGGAAUCCGAUCUAUUACUUUUUUAUAUCAUCACUAAAAUUUUGUUACAUAAUUUAAUUUACAAUUGUAUCAUCUACAUGAAAAUUUGAAAUACGAUCUAACUAAACGGAAUAAAUCGAAUCUCACUAAAUCGAAAUGUUAAACAGAAAAUAGAAUGCCCAGAUGAGAAUCUGACUUGACAGUCUAGAAAAAAACUGGAAUUCUUUCUGAUAAAUCUUUAAGUUCUAACUAAAACAUGUACUGUGUUUCUAGCUGAUGUCUACUUCUGUUUUCCUUUCUUGCCGACUAGCUCUAUACGUAAGGACCGGGUCGUGAUGGUGUGAAUGCUUCGCCGGGGAGUCUCGACUAAAAGCAGCCUCCCUCCGACCGGGAUUCUCCUGCUUUUCACCUUUUGCUUUUCACACUAAAUCUUUGCUGAAGAUAUGGUCAUUCAUCGUGAGGGUGUGCUGCAAUUUCUCCGCUGCCGUGUCCUUCUUGACCACGCUCUUCUCCUCAUCAGAGCAAUCUCCACCGAAGCCCACCGACAGUUCCACUUGCGCUCUUCUUUUAUUUCAAGUCUUUUUCAACUUUCUCUGCUUUCGGUUCCGCAUGGCCCGACCAUGUCCCCUCGUCCUUGUCUCGGUGUUCAGUUAGUCGACACGUUUCCACCGUAUCGUGUCUCACGAGAAUUUGCUCUCCAUUUUUGCAGAAUUUCAGCUCUUCCCUUUCUGUUCCUUUUUUGUGUUUUCACACUUCUAUUUCCCUUCCUUCGCACUCGCACGAAUGCCGUGUCGAAAGUGAACUCAAGUUGACCAUUUCGGUUCACAAAAAUUCGCAAUUUUAUUGGAAACGGUCUGUAAUUUUAUAUGCGAAAGAAUGCAAUAGAGAUUGAGAAUGCGAGAUUACAAAUGCUUUUUUCUUAAUAAGGGGUCAAAUUAUCAGUGAAUUUGAUUGCUGAAUUUCAUGAGAAUGCGGAUAGGACCUUUAGGUGAAAAUCAGUGUCAACAAUAAUUUUCCUCAUAAGUUAGUAAGUUGUUAUUUUCUCUUUAAAUCAUCCCUUCAUUGAUUUUUUUUUUCUUUUUGUCUAAAGAUCCAAACUGGAUGCGAAAUUGAUCUCGUAAAUUAAUUAGUGUAUGUAAAAAAAGAAAAGAAAAGAAAAGAAGAAGAUGAUGUUUUUAUAAUAACUAUAAUAAAUUUGCAUGGAGCACUCCUAUUUUAAUCAAGCUUGCUUUGUUUGAUUAAACUAAACCAGGGUCAUCAAGAAAAACAGCUCUAGUGCGAACGUCCCGAUCGGCUGGAUUCAAUGUUGAUUUAUUUAAAGUAAAGCGAGUUUAAUGUCGCCGUCGCGAUCGUGACCAACUUCGAUUGUGCGCCUUUUCUCUUUUGUCCCCUAGCUCUCCCACUUUUCUUAUGCCCAACUCUCUCUUCCUUUGUUGCUUUCUUUUUCGUUCUGCGCAAACCCUUAGUGAAGACUAAUUGGUGUUUAGUUUUCCAAAGCGGGGCAUUAUGGAGCACCAUCAUUGACCCAUCAGGUUCGCUAAGCUCAGUCAUCAAUUAACUAACUAUUCUUGAUUUGAUUGAACAGAAGCUGCACCAACGUGGCAGGAAAAAGAUAAAAUCAGGCGAGAACACAUUAAUUUUCUAAGACUUGGUCAUAAGUAUUGAUGAAAAGAAACUUUAGUACCGCUGCCCUGAAAAUAGAAGCACUCCCAACGAGUGAAUCCGAGUGACAAUUCAAUUAUUUGACGAAAUCAACUCAAUGACGUAAGUUCAAUAGUUACUCUUUACGGUAAUUACGAUAGUCAUGCUACAAUUUUGAGCAUUGCAAUGAGAUGUUUCAUGAUGUAACAAAAGAAGCCAAUUUAGUCGUGCAAAGAGGUGGCAUUACGACCACAACAUCAGCAAUGAUUGGGGCAGCAAUGACACAUCAAUGAGGCCUAAUCUUAGUGGACUUUUUUUUUUCCCUUUUUACGGAUAAAAUAUGAAUUAGAUAAUUGAUCUCUUAAUAAUAAAUAGAUAAUAGGAAAUAUGAUUCUCCAAUUUCUUUUUGAAUUCACCAUAUGGCAUUUUUUUUGCUAUUUUUUUCAUUUACUAAUUCAAUUCUAUUACUUUUUUAUAUAGUCACAUAAGUUUUAUUACAUAAUUUAUUUUACCAUUGUAUCAUUUACAUGGAAAUUCGAAAUACGAUCUAACUAAAUGGAAUAAAUAGAAUCUCGCUAAAUCGAAAUGUUAAACAGAAAAUGGAAUGGCCAGAUUAGAAUCUGACUUGACAUUCUAGAAAAUACAGGAAUUCAUUCUAAUAAUCUUUAACUAGUAACUGAAACAUGUAGUGUGUUUCUAGCUGAUAUCUCGUUCUGUUUUCCUUUCUGUUCCACUAGCUCUACACGCCACGGCCGGGUCGUGACGGUGUGAAUGCUUAGUCGGAGUCUCGACUAAAAGCCUUCCUUCGGCCGGGAUUCUCCUGCUUUUCACACUGGAUCGUUGCUGGAGAUACGGUCAUUCGUCAUGAGGGAGUGCUGCAAUUUCUCCACUACUGUGUCCUUUUCGACCCCAUUAUUGCCCUCAUCAAAGCAAUCCACCGAAGCCCGCCGAAAGUUCCACUUGCGCUCUUCAUUUAUUUUGCGUCUUUUUCGACUUUCUCUGCUUUCGGUUACGCAUGGCUCGACCAUGUCCCCUCGUCCUCAUCUUCGCGUUCAGUUAGUCAACACGUUUCCACCGUAUCGGGUCCCACCAGAAUUUGCUCUCCAUUUUUGCAGAAUUUCAGCUUUCUCUUUCUGUUCCUUCGUGUGUUUUCACACUGCUAUUUCCCUUCCUUCGCACGCGCAGAAAUGCCGUGUUGAAAGUGGCCUCGAGUCGACCAUCUCGGUGAACCGGAAGUAGGGAGCGGGAAGGACCUAGAAUUCCCGUUUAAAUUUACCUCGAAAAUUUCAGGGCUGGGUCGUGUAACAGGUCGGUUCGCAAGAAUUCACAAUGAAAGUUUUCACAAUUUUAAAUGCGAAGGAAUGUAAUAGGGAUCAAGAAUGCGGGAUUACAAAUGUAUUUCUUUUUAUAGGAGAUCAAGGUAUCACUGAAUUUGAUUGCUGAAUCUCAUCAGAAUGUGGAUAAGACCUUUCCGCGAAAAUCUAAAUGUCAACGGUAAUUUUCCUCAAAAGUUAGUAAGUUAUUAUUUCCCUUUAAAUCAUCCCUUCGUUGAAAUUAUUUUCUUUUUAUCUAAAGAUCCAAACUAUAUAUACCAGACUUAUCUCGUAAAUUAAUUAGUGCAUGUAAAAUUCCAAGUUUGAUUUUAGAUUUAUGCGAUGUAAAUAAGCAGCACUACUCCCAAGGUUUUCCUAAUUAAUGUAAUGCAAAUCAUUUCUAGAGGAAUAAAAGAGCAAAUGCUAGACAUAAUAAAAUUGAAUAUUAUAUGCGCGCGCCCGCAUAUUUAUAUAUAAAGAUGGAUGGAGUAUGAAGAGGAAAAUAGUGUGGUGGCCUUCUUAGGUAAGUUUUGAUUUUAAUUUUUGAGAGUUCGGCAAAAAAAGUGAAUCACAUUUUAAUGCUCAACAAUACUUUUCCACCUCAUUUGGUACACUGAUUUUUUAAAAUCUUUAUAUAAUUAGUACUAUUUUGCCCCCCACCCAAAAAAAAAAAAAAAAAAAAAACCCAAUAGUAUCUUGGGAGCACUUUCGUGUGAGUUUCCUCACUGCCGAACGCGUUUUCUUGAGCAGGGCCGUCCACUCCUUUUGAUGACAAGACAACAACAUGGGAAACAAUUACCCUACACUACUCUUGACGCUCCUCUGGAUCGAUGCUUAACGUGUAAGGGCUGCUUGUGAUUCUCCUUGCAAAGGUAUGUUCUCCUUCUUUGAUAACCAAUUUUCCUCUUUUUUUUCGAUAAGUAUGAUAUUAAUUUACUCUGUGUAGAUCUAGUGUAUCUCUCUAUUUGUGCUUUUGUUCCCAGUAAAAUAAGGAGAGAGAUCUCUGUACUUCAGGCGUGCACAACUCAGGCGGUUUGGUUCUGUUAGGAGGAUUCUACGGUUUUGCAACGAUUUCAAAUAUACCUGGUCAGCUAGCUUUUAACAUAACUUAAGAAUCCUUUAUUUUUCUAUAUGCAUUAUUUUUUUAAAUUGAUCGUCUGUUUUUAACUGUUCUAUGCUCUUGCUUGGCAUUGUCUCUGUUUUGUAAGAAUCAAAUAAAGAAUCUCCGACUGAGCAUCCUUAUUUAACUGGAUUACUUCUUGUAGGAUAUUGGUAGCGGCAAUGCCUAGAGAAAAGGAUCCAUUUUGGAAGUACGCGACGUUGCUGAAUGAAAAUAAUAGCAAGUGGAGGUGUAACUUGUGCGGACAGAAUUAUAGUGGACGUGCUACAAGGAUCAAGGCUCACUUGGCUGGAUUGACCCGCUUUGGUAUUAAAGGAUGCGAGAGAGUCGAUGCUAAUGUUAGAGCAGAAGCCAAGGACGCACUUGAGCCUAAAAAAGUGACGGACUCGAGCGACCAAGGUGUAUCUGACGAGAGGAUACCAGGAAAUGUUAAAGCAGCUCCGACCAGCACAACUCAUCCACCAAAUGCGGAGGGAGGAAACAAUUUACAACUUCCACAAGGUAUGCAUUUCCAAAUUACCGCAGAAAAUGGCUGUUUAGUAAAGUGAAUUUUUUUGAUCUAAUCUUAAAUAUGGUUUGAGGUUUGCUUUAGUCUUUUAGGGUCUGCAUGACAAACUUCCCCAGCCCAAGAAUUUCUAUUCUUCUCUUCCCCAGAACCAAAAAAGAAUAGAAACCCGCAUGAUAAUGGCAAGUUAAUUUUUUGUUCCCGGGAACAAAAUGUUAGCCCGGAAAUGGUUUUGGAAUAGAAAUGAGAAGUAAAAAAAAGUUGCUUCUUGUUCCCGGGAACAAGUUUAAGAAAUAAGUUAAUUUUUUUUUCUUUUAUUCUUCUAUUGUUGACUGCCAUUGACCGCUGUUGACCGUUGCCGCCGCCGCCGGUCGCCUCCGCCGGUCGCCGCCGGUCGCCGCCGGACGCCGCUGGUCGCCGGAGGCUGAUCGACCUCNNNNNNNNNNNNNNNNNNNNNNNNNNNNNNNNNNNNNNNNNNNNNNNNNNNNNNNNNNNNNNNNNNNNNNNNNNNNNNNNNNNNNNNNNNNNNNNNNNNNUGUUUUUUACCAAACGCGAUUCAAACGCAUUUCUAUUCUUUUUCUAUUUCUAGAUGUGUAGUUAUCAAACGGGUUUUUUUACAUAGAAAUUGUUCCCCAGAAUAGAAAUAGAAAAGAACUAUUUCUGAAAAGAAAUUGUUCCCCAGCCAAGAAAUGUUCUCAUGCGCACCCUUACUGUCUAAACAUCCAUUUCAAGGCAUGUCAAAGCAAUCAGUUUCCCUGCGCCCUAAAUUUCAAUAUGUUACUGAAGACAGCUAUAUAAAUCCGACUAAUGCUGUUGUAUAUCUCAAUCCAUCACUAGAAAAUGGGCAGGAGAUGAGGGCGGCCAACGUCGCAAACCCCCCAUUCGAUGGUGCAACAAGUUACCAUAGAGCACCUCCCACGCCAAAUUCACCCUUCACUGUUGAAGAUUUUACUUCUUUGAUGGAGUCUCUUGACGCUGAGACAUCAAAUGCACAACAGAAUCCAGGCGCGUUAUUGCUAUCAUCAAACUAUCAGCUCCUUGAUAAUACUUUUCAGAAUGAGUUACAGGGGCCCCUUUUGCCUGGUCCCAUUGCAUCGGAUACUCAACUCAGUAACAUGGCCACAACCAAAACUUCCCAGCAUUCUAGUCAACCACUUCAAAGCGACAGGGAGUGUGGAUACGGCACCGGUCUAGAGCCACCUAUUCCAUCACUACCUUCCACUGGACCUCUUCUUGUCGAGUCAGUUGACCCCCUGCAGAUUCCAGAGGACAUCACAAAUACAAUAGGCCCAUGGACAUCAGAAGGUAUGAAAUUAUCUAUGUAUGUUAAAUGAGUAUCGUUAACUAAGUGCCC
rnacentral:lncRNA from 1 species